rnacentral:piRNA from 1 species
GCCUUGGCAUUUCUAUGUUAGUUGGAAGGA